AUGUUCCUGCCACUCCCCCGCCACAGACCCUUUUGGACAAAUGACAAGAGACGGAAUAGGAGGCCCCAGUCCUGGCACCCGACGUCCAGCUUCACAGCCCGCCUGGAGCUAAGCCCAGGGGCCAUCUCCGUGGGAGGGGAGGAGACCUGUGCUGCGUUCAACGCGAACGCCGCAGUCUCUAAGGAGACAGGGGAACUUUUCACUGCUUAUUGCUGCUGCCACCAUGCUGGCUUCCUGGCCCACAUGUGGACCAAGAUUCUAUUUUUGAUUCCCUGCAACACACCUGAAGGGAGAAUGGAGCACAAAGGAUUAGAAUUGCAACAAGGCUCCCAUAUGCUCAGCCAGACUAAUUUUCCAGAACCCCCCAGAGUCAAGGGGCCAGCUUUGCAAGAUAAGAAACCGCCUGAACAAACACCACCUCAAGCAAUGGAGAAGAGGGAUGGGCCUAAAUGGAGCUUGGGAAGACCCCUGGAAGCAUAUCCUGAAACUGAUUUGAGAACCUCCCUGUUGCGUUUUCUCACAGAAUUACAGGGGGAAACCCAAUCAGUAACUCAACUGCCACACCACAAGGAUAAACUUGCUUGCAUCUCUUGCAUGCUGGUCUGUGUGUUCUUUAAGGGCCAUGCAGGAGUGUAUAAUGGGCAUAGCCUUUGAGAUCAGUAGGACCUGAGUUCAAAUCUUGGGUCUGUACUUACUUGCUGUGUGAUCUUGGGCUACUUAUUCAAUCUCUCUGAAUCUCCAUAAAAUUAAGUAAGUACUACAUUGUAGACUUCUUUAUGAAGAAAUAAAAUCAGACUGUAAACACACAUACCACCUAGCAGAGAGUAGGAGUCAUCUGUGAUCAUUCCCAAAUCUCCAGGGAACUCGUCUCAUUUGUCCCUGGUCCCCAAUAUGCUCAGUGCUCAGAGAGUAUGUUUUAAAUGAAAACGAUGUUUGCCUUACCUAACCUAACAUUUGGGUUGGUCUCCUUUCAAGGAGAAUUAAAGAUGUCAGUGCUUACUUUUAUAUUGUC
rnacentral:lncRNA from 1 species